rnacentral:rRNA from 1 species
UACGAGAGGUGCGAGCGUUAUUCGGAAUCAUUGGGCGUAAAGGGUGCGUAGGCGGGAUGGUAAGUCUGUUGUUAAAUCUCUUGGCUCAACCAAGAAACUGCAAUGGAAACUACUGUUCUAGAGGGUGAGAGAGAGAAGUGGAAUUCCAGGAGUUAGCGGUCAAAUGCGUAGAUCUCUGGAGGAACACCGAUGGCGAAGGCAGCUUCUUGGCUCAUUUCUGACGCUGAGGCACGAAAGCGUGGGGAGCAAACAGG